rnacentral:rRNA from 1 species
ACGCUCGACACCUACGGAGGCAGCAGUGGGGAAUAUUGCACAAUGGGGGAAACCCUGAUGCAGCGACGCCGCGUGAGCGAAGAAGUAUUUCGGUAUGUAAAGCUCUAUCAGCAGGAAAGAAGAAAGACGGUACCUGACUAAGAAGCCCCGGCUAACUACGUGUCAGCAGCCGCGGUAAUCUGAGCGGGCUGGCAAGGC